rnacentral:lncRNA from 10 species
GAGUGGGGUUUAAUCUGGACUGAAUUGGAGGAAAGGAACUGGCACCAGAGUGGAGGCUGGAAGGAUGGUGGAACUGACACUGGGACAGAACACAGAAAACAGAAUCUAAUGCUAUUGCUCUGGCUAUAUCAAAUAAAAGUGUCAAGAGUGAGCAUCCUUGCCUUGUGCUGAAUCACAAAGGAAUACCUUUCAGUUUUUCUCCAUUGAUUAUGAUAGCAGUGGGCUUUUCACAGUGGGCUUUACUGUGUUGAGGAGGAGGUCUGAUGGCCGGGAGGACAGGAAGAAGGAACCCACAAUGAAGCAAAAGUUGCGUUUAACUCUGUCCUCACCAUUCCUCUCCUGGACCUGUCCUAAACUGGAAGCUGGGGGAGGAUGGAGUGCUGGAAUGCUGCAGAAGUCUCAUGGGAGGGCGCCUGGUGUUCACCACAUGUGUACACUGUUGCACGACCAGUGAACCUUCAGAAAGGGCAGAAAGGAAGUUUACUUCUGCCUCUACAAUGGAUUUGCCUACUUUAGACAUGUUUUCAAGAUUUAUCCACGUCAUGGCAUAUACCAGAACUUCAUUUCUUUUAUGAUUGAAUAAUAUUACAUGGUUUUAAUAUACUAUAUUUUGUUUAUCUGUUCAUCAAUUAAUAAAUCUUUGGGUUGUUUUCACUUUUAGGCUAUAAUAAUUAACGCUGUUAGGAAUAUUUACUUGUAAGUUUUUGUUAUAUGUUUUUAAUUCUCCUGGGUAGAUACUUAGGGAUAAAAUUGCUGAAUUAGAUUGUAACUUUAUGUUUAGAAACUGCCCAACUGUUUUCCAAAGUAACUAUCAUUUUAAUAUUUCACCAGCAUUGUAUGACAGUUCUGGUCUUUCCUUAUUUAAACUAAUACUUAAUUGUUGCCUUUUAUUGUAGCUAUCCUAGUAGAUAUGAAGUGUUAUCUCAUUAUGGUUUUGAUUUGCAUUCUCUAAUGACUAAUAAUAUCAAGCAUCUUUUCAUGUGUAUACAAGAUAUUUGUAUAUCUUCUUUAGAGAAAUGUCUACUCAAAUCCUGUGCCUAUGUUUUAAUUGGAUAAUUUAUGUUUUUAUUGUUGAGUUGUAAUAGUUUUUAAAUAUAUUCUGGAUCCUAGACCUUUAAC